UGCAAGUCGAACGAGAAUCUGUGGAUCGAGGAUUCGUCCAAGUGAAGCAGAGGACAGUGGCGGACGGGUGAGUAACGCGUGAGGAACCUGCCUUUCAGAGGGGGACAACAGUUGGAAACGACUGCUAAUACCGCAUGAUACAUUUGGGUGGCAUCAUCUGAAUGUCAAAGAUUUAUCGCUGAAAGAUGGCCUCGCGUCUGAUUAGCUGGUUGGUGAGGUAACGGCCCACCAAGGCGACAAUCAGUAGCCGGACUGAGAGGUUGACCGGCCACAUUGGGACUGAGAUACGGCCCAGACUCCUACGGGAGGCAGCAGUGGGGAAUAUUGGGCAAUGGGCGCAAGCCUGACCCAGCAACGCCGCGUGAAGGAAGAAGGCUUUCGGGUUGUAAACUUCUUUUAAGAGGGAAGAGCAGAAGACUGUACCUCUAGAAUAAGCCACGGCUAACUACGUGCCAGCAGCCGCGGUAAUACGUAGGUGGCAAGCGUUGUCCGGAUUUACUGGGUGUAAAGGGCGUGCAGCCGGGAAUGCAAGUCAGAUGUGAAAUCCAUGGGCUUAACCCAUGAACUGCAUUUGAAACUGUAUUUCUUGAGUACUGGAGAGGCAAUCGGAAUUCCUAGUGUAGCGGUGAAAUGCGUAGAUAUUAGGAGGAACACCAGUGGCGAAGGC
rnacentral:rRNA from 1 species